AUACCUUCAUACUCUUCAGUUACAACACAAAUGGCAGGACAAGAAACAAAGUCUCAAGGAAGGGGACAUCGUUCUGCUCAAAGAUAUUCAGGUGAAGAGGAGCGAUUGGCCCAUGUGCAUCAUAACCAAGACUUUCCCAGGGAAAGAUGGACUUGUCAGGAAAGUCGAAGUAACUACUUCUCACUCAGGCAAUAAGAAGACUUUCUCUCGUCCUGUAACAGAAGUAGUUUUGCUGCUGUCCCCCGAAAAGUUUAGUGACUGACAAUUUAAUGUGGGAUUGUUAUAAUCCCAGGCGGGGAGUGUUAUGUUACUGCUUAAUUAAUUCCAUGUUUCAGAUGUUAGUAAAAUGUGCCACCCUGUGGCCCCUUUAAGUUGAUAUUUUAUGACAGUAGAAGAAGAGUUAAACAGGAAGUGGAUGUUUUCUUGCUAUGCUGUUUCAAGAUGGCCGCACCACAUUCAUGUCCUUCUUUUGGGUGUUUGUUAAAGCAUUGUCUGUAAGUAUUUAAUGGUAAAAAGCAACGAGACACUCCAAGUGUUGUCUUUAUGUGUGAUGGAUCACAGUUAACAAGUUUUCAAUGUGCUAUUCAUAUGUAAAUGAGAUCGCCAGUUAAUAUGCUAAUUAGCGGUGCUAAUCGUCAUGCUAGCUUCUCAAAUGCAUUGUUAGGUUAUUGGUUUAAGGCUGUAUGUUGUUGUUAACAGUACAGAUGAGUAAUGUACAUUUCCACAUAUGCUUUAUUGUUACAGUUUCACAAAAUGAAAGAACCAGUAAACUUCAUAAGAUCUCAUCUAUUGUCUGGAGUUCCUGGGUUCAUGUUUAGCUGUUUGGAUAGCUAGUCAGACUUCUAGCGAGGCCAUUUACAAACACACAAACUGUUUUUGUGCAGUUUGACUCACAGCGUGUUGCUAGCUAAAAGUCCAGCUGCUGGAUUUCACAGGGGCAGAAACGAGUUUGAGAUAAACUCACUCAGAGACGGAGAAAGAAUACAGGACAGGAACAGGAGAGCUUAUAUUUAAAGCAGAGUGUAAUCACCUCCUACGAGCCAUCCUGUCUCAGGAAUCAUCCUGCGAAGCCACAAGUCAACGUCACCUCUGUUUCCUGCUUGUCCAAAGUAAACAGCCAUAAAAAGGGCUGUGUGCUGAGCCCGUUCCUCUAUGACUGCAGACCUAGGUAUGGAUCCAACUCCAUCAUCAAGUCUGCAGAUGACACCACGGUGAUUGUCUCAUCAGUGACAACGAUGAGUCUGGCUACAGAAUUAGAAUCAUAAUACUUUAUUAAUCCCCACAUAAUUUCCCUGUGGAUUAAUAAAGUAUUCUGAUUCUGAUUCUGAUACAGCUCCUCCCCUUCAGAAGGCGCUACAGGAGCCUUCAGACAAAAACCAGCAGGUUUAGGAACAUCUUCCCCACAGCUGUCACCCUACUGAACUCCGUCUCCUGCUGAACCUUUCCAUCCAGACUCACUUAGCCCUUCUACACUCCUCCUUCCAAUAACCAUGAUCAUGUCAUUCUCAACAUUCACCAUAUGCUCACAUUGGUUACUGCUAUAGUUUUAGGACACUGACAUAGUAUAGUCUUUGUUAUAGUGGUACACUGUUCACCAUUAUAGUCUAUUCAGAGAGCUACACUUCCACUACGGUAGAUAUAUUCAUAGCACUGUGUAUAUCUGCCCAUCUGUACAGCAAUAUAGAACAUCUGUAUGCUAUACAGAUCAUUUGUAUAUCUGUACAUAUGUACACAACAGAACAUCUGUACAUUUGUCUGUAUUACAUCUGUAUUUCUGCUCUCAACUUACUUGUAUAUAAUCUGCUCUUAUUGCACUUACUGCUCUUGCACUUCUGAUUAGAUGCAAACUGUAUUUCAUUACCCUGUAUUCAUACAUGUGUAACGAAGUAAGUUGAAUCCUAAAUUCUAUCCUAAAUAUUUAAACAAAAUCACAGCUACAGGAGAAGUUUUUAGAAGUUCAGAUGUUAAUAAAUGAAGGGUAAAUUAGUAAAGUAAGUCAUAAGUAAAGACAGCACUGAAGCGAGGGAGAAAGACAAAGUGAUGUUAAAGUUUGUUCUCAAAGGCAGCAGCUACAGUGAGCCAGUGCAGGUGAUUUGAGACUAUGAGAAAUCUGAGAGACUCAA